rnacentral:rRNA from 1 species
GAUGAACGCUGGCGGCGCGCCUAACACAUGCGAGUCGAACGAUUAAAGCACCUUCGGGUGUGUAUAAAGUGGCGAACGGCUGAGUAACACGUGGGCAACCUGCCCCUUUCAUUGGGAUAGCCACGGGAAACCGUGGAUAAUACCGAAUACUUCGAGACUUCCGCAUGGAAGACUCGAGAAAGCUCCGGCGGAGAGGGAUGGGCCCGCGGCCUGUUAGCUUGUUGGUGGGGUAACGGCCUACCAAGGCAAUGAUGGGUAGCUGGGUUGAGAGACCGACCAGCCAGAUUGGGACUGAGACACGGCCCAGACUCCUACGGGAGGCAGCAGUGGGGAAUCUUGCACAAUGGGCGAAAGCCUGAUGCAGCGACGCUGCGUGCGGGAUGAAGGCCUUCGGGUUGUAAACCGCUUUCAGCAGGGACGAGGCGAAAGUGACGGUACCUGCAGAAGAAGCCCCGGCUAACUACGUG